CUGUUUGGAUUUAGUUUAGGUUCAAAAGAGCACGCACAGAUCCUGAGUGUUGUCAAGCACCCGUGACUGGGAAACGGAGGCGUCCGAUCCGUAUUGGAGUCAAUUCGCCACUUAAUUGAACACAGCCUCGAAGGGAAGGGCCAUAUUUGUGGGCCUGUCUAACAAUUAAGAGUGACCACAUGGAAUGGGGGAUGAAAGGGUUAAAGAAGAACAAAUAUUGAACACAGCUUUUCUAUGAACAAACUGCAGGCAGCUGCUGCUUUGCAAGGUCUAAAGGUGACAUGUGGCACUAGAGAGCAUGCCUCUUUUUUUGUGCUGCUCUGCAACCUUUCGGCAUCUGAGAAGAUUGUUCUAGUGUUGCGGUUUACAUGUGGUCACUGCAGGACUCCGGCCAGCCAUUCCCAGGGCAGUGUGUGUCCUUAGAACUGAGCUCAGAAGCUGAAAUACUCAGUAGGACAGAAGCCUUUUGGACUCUCUCUCUCUUCUCUGUCACUGAAAAAUUUCUACAGAACAACACAUUCAAUAGGACCAAAUGAGUCCACAUCAAUGAAGAGGGAAGCAGUUGAUUGAGAAUAAUGGUUCUGUUUUGGAGGUUGAUGGAAGAUGCCCUUUGGCCAGGAAAACAGCUCAUGCUUUUAGAGGAGGAUAAUUGCCAGAAGGCCUCUCUGAAUAAAAAAAAAUCCUGACCUCACAGCCUUUGCGCUUACUUGGGUUAGAAUGCCACAGUGAACAUUGCCCCUUGUCAUCACGUAGAGGUGCUCACAGGUAAAGCAACACAAGGAGCAUAUAGGAUCACCUGCUGGAUCUUGUUUUUAACACCAGGGAGGAAAAUGGUGUCUUGGGUAAUGAACAUGCCUCAAGACUGAGCUGGCCAUCUUCAGUGUCAUCCAAACCCUCAGUGGCCCCUGAAAAACCCUUUGAAAAGAUUCAGCACGUUGCCAUGGAGAACAUCCCACUGAAGGAAUGUAUAGAAGUAGCAGGGUUAACUGAGUGCCUUCCAUCUUCCCUCCAAGGGAUCUGCAAUGAGAUGGGAGAAGGCAACAGGCUGUGUGGGAACCACUGAAGCUGGGAUGGCAGGGAAAGAACAUCUUAGGCUAACUCUUCAAGCCUUGCUGUCACAUUUGCUUUUGAGUCUAUGGUGUCAGCUGCCUACCAGUUGCUUUCAUCUCUAGAAAUCUGUGACUUGCAGUAUGACAAGAACAAAAGGUGACAAUACAAAGGACAAAGGGCAAGGAAUACAGACGGAGAAGCCGCUUAGAGUCUAGGAUGGCAGAGGUUCUCUUGAUCAUUUCAUUUUUGAGCGCUUGUAGAGCUUUGGUGUACCAGAGGUGCUUGAACAGCUUACCACACCACAGAUGAAUGGCCUUUGGAUUUCUCCUAAGAAAAUGUGGCUACCUGAAAUUCAACUCCAUUUUCUGGUCUUCAAUAUUUCUUUUGUGUUCAGUUUGCCAGCUGAGGAGAAGUGGCUAAGCAUAGCCUGUUACUGAUGCUAAAGCCCAAGUUCUGAACCUAACAACUCCAGCAACAUGAUCCUGUUUCAAGAGACAAAAAAGUGACUAAUGAAAGAAAACAAUUGAUGUGCUAUGUAGAGUUUAAAAGAAGGUAAAGAGAAUAAAUUAAAAGCAACAACUCUC
rnacentral:lncRNA from 1 species